AAAAGGAAUCUGUUGCUUGGACUAUGAAAUAAGGAUGGAUCAUAUAGAUAAACACAAAUGCUUAGUUUAGAUAACGUAGAGAUUAGAGAAUAGAAAAUAAUAUUGGAAUUGGAGAUUGAGACGUCUCGUUAAGCAAUGAAACUCUUCUUUUGUUCUUUUUUUCUUUGUUUUUUUUGUUCAAAGCAAUAAAACUCUUUUUCUGUAAUUGUUUUAGUAUUUGACUUAAAAAUCAAUAUAUAUGUUUCAAAUAUUUGCUAUUCAAAACUAAAGGCGACAUUUACAAUAUAUAUAUAUAUAAAUAAUGUAUCUAAUGUUAGUCUCACUUUUUAACUAUG
rnacentral:lncRNA from 1 species